rnacentral:rRNA from 1 species
AUUGAACGCUGGCGGCAUGCUUUACACAUGCAAGUCGAACGGUAACAGGUUAAGCUGACGAGUGGCGAACGGGUGAGUAAUGCAUCGGAACGUGCCCGGUCGUGGGGGAUAACACUUCGAAAGAAGUGCUAAUACCGCAUACGAUCUGAGGAUGAAAGCGGGGGACCGUAAGGCCUCGCGCGAUCGGAGCGGCCGAUGUCAGAUUAGGUAGUUGGUGGGGUAAAGGCUCACCAAGCCGACGAUCUGUAGCUGGUCUGAGAGGACGACCAGCCAGACUGGGAAUGAGAAACUGCCCAGACUCCUACGGGAGGCAGCAGUGGGGAAUUUUGGACAAUGGGCGCAAGCCUGAUCCAGCAAUGCCGCGCGCAGGAAGAAGGCCUUCGGGUUGUAAACUGCUUUUGUACGGAGCGAAAAGGCUCUCUCUAAUACAGGGGGCUCAUGACGGUACCGUAAGAAUAAGCACCGGCUAACUACGUGCCAGCCGCCGCAGUAA